ACGAACGCUGGCGGCGUGCUUAACACAUGCAAGUCGAACGGAAAGGCCCCUUUGGGGGUACUCGAGUGGCGAACGGGUGAGUAACACGUGAGUAACCUGCCCUUGACUUCGGGAUAACUUCAGGAAACUGGGGCUAAUACCGGAUAGGAAUCCUUGCUGCAUGGUGGGGGUUGGAAAGCUUCGGCGGCUUUGGAUGGACUCGCGGCUUAUCAGCUUGUUGGUGGGGUAGUGGCCUACCAAGGCUUUGACGGGUAGCCGGCCUGAGAGGGCGACCGGCCACGUUGCGACUGAAAGACGGCACAGACUCCGACAGGGGGCCGAAGUGAGGAGUAGUGAGCAAUGGGCAGAAGCCUGCUGCAGCAACGCCGCGUGCGGGAAGACGGCCUUCAGGUGGUAAUCCGCUUUCAGCAGGGGCGACGCUUGUGGUGACGGUACCUGCAGAGGAAGCACCGGCUAACUACGUG
rnacentral:rRNA from 1 species